rnacentral:rRNA from 1 species
AGUGAACGCUGGCGGUAGGCCUAGCACAUGCAAGUCGAACGGCAGCACAGUAAGAGCUUGCUCUUACGGGUGGCGAGUGGCGGACGGGUGAGGAAUACAUCGGAAUCUACUUUUUCGUGGGGGAUAACGUAGGGAAACUUACGCUAAUACCGCAUACGACCUACGGGUGAAAGCAGGGGAUCUUCGGACCUUGCGCGAUUGAAUGAGCCGAUUUCGGAUUAGCUAGUUGGCGGGGUAAAGGCCCACCAAGGCGACGAUCCGUAGCUGGUCUGAGAGGAUGAUCAGCCACACUGGAACUGAGACACGGUCCAGACUCCUACGGGAGGCAGCAGUGGGGAAUAUUGGACAAUGGGCGCAAGCCUGAUCCAGCCAUACCGCGUGGGUGAAGAAGGCCUUCGGGUUGUAAAGCCCUUUUGUUGGGAAAGAAAAGCAGCAGGUUAAUACCCCGCUGUUCUGACGGUACCCAAAGAAUAAGCACCGGCUAACUUCGUG